AUGACCUCGCCGGCUUCUACCUCUUCCUGGUUCUCCGGAAUCGUGCGCACAGCAUCCGGUAAUCCCCCUUCUUCAGCCAUGCCUCCCGCCGGCGGCGUCACCUCCGCCCCCGUCUCCCUUCCCGACACCCCUGCUGCCGUGAGCGGCAAGGGUGGCGUCGUUGCCCCUGUAGCCACCACAGGCGUAGGCGCUCGCAGGAAGCAGCUCCAGGGCACGCUGUUCAAGUACGGGCCCAAGUCCGCUCAGGGGUGUUGGAUUCAGUUCCGCUCAUCGGCUGCAUGCUUCGCAAUUCCUUUGGCGUGGGAAUUCUUUGGAUCGGAUGUUCUGGAUGCUUCUAGAAUGGUUGCGUUCAGGACUGGUGAUUUUACCCGUCAGGUGAUUUUCAUUGGUGGUUUGGCAGAUGGGCUCUUAGCAACUGAUUACUUGGAACCAUUGUCACUUGCGUUGGAGGUUGAGAAAUGGUCACUGGUUCAACCAUUACUUUCUUCAUCAUAUACUGGAUACGGAAUUUCCAGCUUGGAGCAAGAUGCAUUGGAACUUGAUCAGCUCAUCGGCUACUUGAUAAAUAAAGAUAAUUCUGAAGGAGUAAUACUGCUCGGUCACAGCACUGGUUGCCAGGAUAUUAUACAUUACAUGCAGACAAACUUUGCAUGUUCCAAAGCAGUUUCUGGGGUAAUUUUGCAGGCCCCAGUAAGUGACAGGGAGUAUAGGGCAACUCUUCCAGAAACAGGAGAAAUGAUAGAUCUGGCAGCGAAAAUGAUUAGUGCGGGCCGUGGAAUGGAUUUGAUGCCCAGAGAAGCAAAUUCAGAUGCUCCAAUUACUGCCUACAGGUUCCACUCCCUUUGUGCAUACAUGGGUGAUGACGAUAUGUUCAGUUCUGAUCUUAGUGAAGAUCAGCUGAAGCAGAGACUUGGUCAUAUGUCAACCACACAGUGCCUGGUUAUUUUUUCAAUGGCGGAUGAGUAUGUCCCUGAAUAUGUCGAUAAGAAGGCACUUGUAGACAGACUCUGUCGUGCACUUGGAGAUUCAGAGAAAGUUGAAAUAAAAUGGGGAAACCAUGCUCUUUCCAACAGGGUGCAAGAGGCUGUCGAGGUUAUUGUAGAUUUUGUUAAGAGGGAGGGACCCAAAGGAUGGGACGAUCCAUGGAGCUAG
rnacentral:rRNA from 1 species